rnacentral:sRNA from 1 species
CGCCCGUGGGCUGCAGUUGGAACGAUGGCGGCGGCAGCUGCCGCCGGGCCUAGCCCGGGGUCUGGACCUGGAGACUCCCCAGAAGGGCCCGAGGGGGAGGCCCCGGAGCGUCGGCGGAAGGCGCACGGGAUGCUUUACUACGGCCUCUCGGAAGGGGAGGCAGCGGGACGCCCCGCGGGGCCCGACCCCCUGGACCCGACUGAUCUGAACGGGGCGCACUUCGACCCGGAAGUUUACCUAGACAAGCUGCGUAGAGAGUGCCCUCUGGCCCAGCUGAUGGACAGUGAGACGGACAUGGUGCGGCAGAUCCGGGCUCUAGACAGCGACAUGCAGACCCUGGUCUAUGAGAACUACAACAAGUUCAUCUCAGCCACAGGCAGUGCGCUGGGCACGCAGAUGCGCCUGGGAGCCAGCGGUCCCUGCCUUGGCUGCUUAUGGUCUGAUGGAACACAGUGUAGCACAGUGGUGGCAGCUGGCUAAGCACCUGCGGCCUGCUUCGGAUCUGGACUAAGUCUGAGGGCUGGCUCUCCUGGGCACCAGGGCUAGGGGGUCACGGGGGGUAUGUGAGUGACGCCUGCUUUGGGAACAUAAACCCCCUCCCCCGCCCCCAUGUGCGCUGUGACCCGCGCCCUCGCAGUCCUUUCUCUCGAAUCAUUCAUGCGCCCCUGGAGCAAGCUGGGGCGUCUGUGAAGGGGUGAGUGAGAACGAGCUGAGGUUGCGCCCGCCCUGCAGUCACCUGCUCUCCCCUUUUCCCCGCCCCUGCCCUCCUAGACACCAUCCGGAAGAUGAAGAACGAUUUCCGGAAGAUGGAGGAUGAGAUGGACCGGCUGGCCACCAACAUGGCAGUGAUCACCGACUUCAGCGCUCGCAUCAGCGCCACGCUGCAGGACCGCCACGAGCGCAUCACCAAGCUGGCAG